CCUACGGGCGGCAGCAGUAGGGAAUCUUCCACAAUGGGCGAAAGCCUGAUGGAGCAACGCCGCGUGGGUGAAGAAGGUCUUCGGAUCGUAAAACCCUGUUGUUAGAGAAGAAAGUGCGUGAGAGUAACUGUUCACGUUUCGACGGUAUCUAACCAGACAGCCACGGCUAACUACGUGCCAGCAGCCGCGGUAAUACGUAGGUGGCAAGCGUUAUCCGGAUUUAUUGGGCGUAAAGGGAACGCAGGCGGUCUUUUAAGUCUGAUGUGAAAGCCUUCGGCUUAACCGGAGUAGGGCAUUGGAAACUGGGAGACUGGAGUGCAGAAGAGGAGAGUGGAACUCGAUGUGUAGCGGUGAAAUGCGUAGAUAUAUGGAAGAACACCAGUGGCGAAAGCGGCUCUCUGGUCUGUAACUGACGCUGAGGUUCGAAAGCGUGGGUAGCAAACAGGAUUAGAUACCCUAGUAGUC
rnacentral:rRNA from 1 species